UGUGUCGGGAAAUGAACACCACGCCAUGGUUUUUCAAUUAUUAAUAUUGGCUGCAAAUCUAUAUUGCAAUCAUGCGCACAUUUCAGACAGAAAACUGUUAGGGAGGCAUUCAUCAAGGGGAGGAGAGGGUGCCUGGUACAGACCGCAGGGAUGCACGCAGACGUGCUGUGGAAUUACUAAUGCCUGCCAGCCCAGGCUGCCCUCGGAAGCUCAGAUCAGCAACACCGCAUCUGAGUGGAAGCGCCACACUAAUGACGGAGAGAAACAGCACACGGAUAUCGCUUCCAGACUCCACCUGGCAAACCAGCACUGACUGUGGAAAGAUCCAGGACUUUGUUGUGAUGGAACAGAGGGAAGACCUGGAUAUUUUACCACCCAGAGUCUGUGUACUCAGAUCCAGUGGGAGACACAUUCAUUCCAUUUGGAUUCUGCACUGAAUUCCAGGGGAGGAGAACACAGUUCAGCUGUAUUCAUCGUAGCAGAAGCAGAUGGUAUCUCCCCGUCUCUCUGCCUGGGGUCUGGGGGUCUGGGUGAGGGCAGCAGUGGUACCUGCUAGAGUUGCCGCGGUCGACUGACGGCAGGAGAUAAGACAACACAGCCCCGCUCACCCAUGAGCCCGGACUCUGAUGCCAAGCGAGCUAUCUGUAUUCAGAAGAAGUUCCUCAUAUUCACUCUGGGAUGCGAUGUAGCGCGCAGCUUUCAUGUGUCACUCUCAGUAUCUGAUAUUAACCUUUGUGCCAAGCUGUCAGCAGUAUGAAGGCUGUGAGAUCUCACUUUCGAUGGAAACAUUAAGAGCGAACUAUCCCUUUUCCAGGGUUUCUAAGAUAUGUGAGACCAGCUUAGAUACCACAUCACCAAUUUGUC